rnacentral:tRNA from 1 species
AAGACUUUAGCUUAAUUAAAGUGCUCGCCUUGCACGCGGGAGCUGUGGGAUAGUGGCCCGCAAGUCUUA